UACGUAGGGGGCAAGCGUUGUCCGGAUUUAUUGGGCGUAAAGAGCGUGUAGGCGGCCAGACAGGUCCGUUGUGAAAACUCGAGGCUCAACCUCGAGACGUCGACGGAAACCGUCUGGCUAGAGUCCGGAAGAGGAGUAUGGAAUUCCUGGUGUAGCGGUGAAAUGCGCAGAUAUCAGGAAGAACACCUAUGGCGAAGGCAGCACUCUGGGACGGUACUGACGCUGAGACGCGAAAGCGUGGGGAGCGAACAGG
rnacentral:rRNA from 1 species